AAGGAAGAGAAUCUUUAAUCUCCUUCUUCUUCUUCUUCUACUUUUGAAUUCUGUAGUCCACACUCCCUCAUACUUUGCUUUCACAGACUCCUUUGCAGUAGGAAAGGUCAUAAAAGAAAAAGGGUAUUAAACUAGCCACUAGCCAUGACUAUUGCUGAUGGAAGUGGAACUCCGCCAACAAGGCUUGAGGGAAAAUAUAAAUCAAUGUUUGUUUGUUGGAUUCUUG
rnacentral:misc_RNA from 1 species